rnacentral:lncRNA from 1 species
CUGAAGAAAAAACAUGCCACUCACCUUUUCCCAGAAAGGUGAUGAACUUAAAAUGUACAAGGAACAUAUAUUUUUAGGUAUGGCCAGUGUGGAAAUUUUUUUUUACUUAAUGAUGCAUACUUAUGAUAAAGUUUUUUUAUUGUUUUUUUUUGGUUGUUCAAUUGGGAGGGGUGUAAAAAUAAUUUUUUAAAAAUGUAAACCAAAAAGAAUCUACCUCCUGAUUCUUAGUCUCUUCUCUAUAAUCUAUUACCUCUCAGUGACUGUAUUAAUUGAAAGAGAGACUUUCCAAGAAAAUUUGACAUUGUAUUUCUACACAGGAGAUGGGAACAGAGCCAACAGAAUAUGCAAUUAUUUACAAACAGCUAUGUUCAAGAAAUGUGUUCACAACUACAGCAAGGAGGACAGAACAAAAGAAUAGAGAAGAAAGAGAUCACCACUUAUUUCAAUUUCCUGGAACAAUCUACCACGGCAUGAUUGCUCCCACUGUCUCCCAAUCCCUGGUUUCCUUCACCACAAGCCUGCUUUGGAAGUUGCCCAACAGUAGAAUCAUAGAAUAUAUGAGCAGAAAGGAGGAGUGCCACCAGACAAUGCAAACCAACACUAAUCCAGAGCUCCUCAACCAUUUUCUGACAGCUGGUAUUCAUCUGAUGCUAUUCUUCUUUAUUUUUAAAUCCUGGGACCCUCUGCAAUUCAAACAGAAGGCUGAAGAAGAGAGGCAUUUGGUUCUUCUGGCUUAUUCUGCACCUGAGACUGGAGAUACAAGAGUUUCCUAAUACCUG